GUCCUCAUAGUUCAACGGAUAGAACAAGGGUUUCCUAAACCCUGGAUCCAGGUUCGAUUCCCGGUGAGGACACCA
rnacentral:tRNA from 1 species